rnacentral:rRNA from 1 species
UACAGGGGGGCAAGCGUUUGUUCGGAUUUACUGGGCGUAAAGGGCGCGUAGGCGGCCACCGCAAGUCGACUGUGAAAUCUCCGGGCUUAACCCGGAAAGGUCAGCCGAUACUGCGGGGCUAGAGUGCAGAAGGGGCAACUGGAAUUCUCGGUGUAGCGGUGAAAUGCGUAGAUAUCGAGAGGAACACCUGCGGCGAAGGCGGGUUGCUGGGCUGACACUGACUGAAGCGCGAAAGCUAGGGGGAGCGAACGGGG